rnacentral:rRNA from 1 species
UGGGGGAUAUUGCACAAUGGAGGAAACUCUGAUGCAGCAACGCCGCGUGAGGGAAGAAGGUCUUCGGAUUGUAAACCUCAGUAGUCAGGGACGAAAGAAAUGACGGUACCUGAAGAGUAAGCUCCGGCUAACUACGUGCCAGCAGCCGCGGUAAUACGUAGGGAGCGAGCGUUGUCCGGAUUUACUGGGCGUAAAGGGUGAGUAGGCGGUAAUAUGUGUCAGAUGUAAAAGGCUAUGGCUUAACCAUAGUUGGCAUUUGAAACUGUAUUACUUGAGUGCAGGAGAGGUAAGUGGAAUUCCUAGUGUAGCGGUGAAAUUCGUAGAUAUUAGGAGUAACACCAGUGGCGAAGGCGACUUACUGGACUGUAACUGACGCUGAGUCACGAAAGCGUGGGUAGCAAACA